rnacentral:rRNA from 1 species
ACUUUCAACAACGGAUCUCUUGGCUCUAGCAUCGAUGAAGAACGCAGCGAAAUGCGAUAAGUAAUGUGAAUUGCAGAAUUCAGUGAAUCAUCGAAUCUUUGAACGCACAUUGCGCCCAGCAGUACUCUGCUGGGCAUGCCUGUCCGAGCGUCAUUUCACCACUCAAGCUCUGCUUGUUGUUGGAGAGCCUGUGCUAUGCGCGGGCCUCUGAAAUGCAUCGGCUGUGUUACAUGCAGUUUCCCUGUGUAGUAAAACUUUAUUGUUGCACUUUGAAAUUCUUGUACUACAUGCCGUUAAACAACCCAAUUUUUUUAGGUUGACCUCGGAUCAGGUAGGAAUACCCGCUGAACUUAAGCAUAUCAAUAAGCGGAGGAAAAGAAACCAACAGGGAUUGCCUUAGUAACGGCGAGUGAAGCGGCAACAGCUCAAAUUUGAAAUCUGGUUACUUCGUAGCCCGAGUUGUAAUUUGUAGAGGAUGCUUUUGGUGAGGUGCUUUCUGAGUUCCCUGGAACGGGACGCCAAAGAGGGUGAGAGCCCCGUACAGUUAGAUACCAAACCUUUGUAUAGCUCCUUCGACGAGUCGAGUAGUUUGGGAAUGCUGCUCUAAAUGGGAGGUAUAUCUCUUCUAAAGCUAAAUAUAGGCUAGAGACCGAUAGCGCACAAGUAGAGUGAUCGAAAGAUGAAAAGCACUUUGAAAAGAGAGUUAAACAGCACGUGAAAUUGUUGAAAGGGAAGCGCCUAUGACCAGACUUGUUUCUAUCAGUUUUGGUAGUUUUCGGACUGCUUUACUCUGUUAGUACAGGCCAACAUCAGUUUGUUGUCGGGGAGAAAGGUUUAGGGAAUGUGGCUCCUCCGGGAGUGUUAUAGCCCUUUACAUAAUACCCUUCGGCAGACUGAGGACCGCGCUUCGGCAAGGAUGUUGGCGUAAUGGUCAUCAGCGACCCGUCUUGAAACACGGACCAAGGAGUCAACCUUAUAUGCGAGUGUUUGGGUGUUAAACCCCAGCGCGUAAUGAACGUGAACGUAGGUGAGAGCUUCGGCGCAUCAUCGACCGAUUCUGAUGUUCUCGGAUGGAUUUGAGUAAGAGCAUAUAGGGUUGGACCCGAAAGAAGGUGAACUAUGCUUGUAUAGGGUGAAGCCAGAGGAAACUCUGGUGGAGGCUCGCAGCGGUUCUGACGUGCAAAUCGAUCGUCAAAUAUGAGCAUGGGGGCGAAAGACUAAUCGAACCUUCUAGUAGCUGGUUCCAGCCGAAGUUUCCCUCAGGAUAGCAGUGUUGAACUUCAGUUUUAUGAGGUAAAGCGAAUGAUUAGGGACUCGGGGGCGCUAUAUUGCCUUCAUCCAUUCUCAAACUUUAAAUAUGUAAGAAGCUCUUGUUACUUAAUUGAACGUGAGCAUUCGAAUGUAUCAACACUAGUGGGCCAUUUUUGGUAAGCAGAACUGGCGAUGCGGGAUGAACCGAUCGCGUGGAUAAGGCGCCAGAGUGAACGCUCAUCAGACACCACAAAAGGUGUUAGUACAUCUUGACAGCAGGACGGUGGCCAUGGAAGUCGGAAUCCGCUAAGGACUGUGUAACAACUCACCUGCCGAAUGUACUAGCCCUGAAAAUGGAUGGCGCUCAAGCGUUCCGCCCAUACCACGCCCUCAGAGUAGGAUCUAUGCUCUGAGGAGUAGGCUGGCGUAGAGGUCAGUGACGAAGCCUAGGGCGUAAGCCCGGGUCGAACGGCCUCUAGUGCAGAUCUUGGUGGUAGUAGCAAAUACUUCAAUGAGAUCUUGAAGGACCGAAGUGGGGAAAGGUUCCAUAUGAACAGCGGUUGGAUGUGGGUAAGCCGAUCCUAAGCCAUAGGGAAGUUCCGUUUCAAAGGGGCACUUUGCCCCGUAUG